rnacentral:lncRNA from 10 species
UAAUGAGUGCAUGCUCAUGGGCAAGGAUCUCAUUGUGCUGGAAAAGCAGCAGAGUGAGACAAAACUGGACAGGUGAGUGAAGGUCACACCAAGAAGGUUCUUAGCUGCCAAACUAAAGGGUUUGGAUCUUACUCUCUGGAGAAAAGGGUGUAGCUAGUGGUUUUAUAGGAGAGGAGAGGCGCGAUCCGCACUUGAGAAGGUCAAUUUGGCCGCUGUGUGUAGGUCAUAUUACGGAGAAAAAAACUAAAGGCUUUGAGACAAUCCAUGAUGUAAAGGGCUUAGCACAGUGCCCAGCACGCAGUAGGUCUCCAGCGAGUCGUUAUCACCAAGCACCAGGGCAGGCACCACAACAAAAAGAUAAGAUCCCUAACCCUUCUUUUACCUCGAAAUAAUUCCUCCUAGACCCUAUCAUCGCAUUCCUUCUCUUCCCCUUUUGUCAAACUUCCACUCACAUGUAGAUAUUCUCAGGGUUAUCAUGCCUAGGCCUUUUUAAUAGGGCCACUUACCCUAGCAUGCUUCUACAACUGGACCCUCAAAGGUCUUUUAGGGCUGAGUGUGGUGGCUCACACCUGUAAUGCCAGCAUUUUGGGAGGCCGAAGCCAGAGGACUGCUUGAGCCCAGAGGUUCAAGACCAGCCUGGGCACCAUAGCCAGACCCUGUCUCUACAAAAAAUAGUUUCAACAAAUUAGCCAGGCAUGGUGAUGUGCGCCUGUCAUCCCAAGUACUUGGGAGGCUGAGGUGGGAGGAUUGCGGAUUGCCUGAGCCCAGGAGUUCAAGGCUGCAGUGAGCUGUGAUCAUACCACCGUACUCCAGAUUGCGUGACAGAGCUAGAACUUGUCUCUUAAAAAAAAAAAAAGACUUAAUUUCCACAUCUGAAGGCCUCUUGUUAGUCUUCUUCUGAUUCAACAACUCUUUACUGUUUGAUGCCAUUUACAUAUGUUUAU